rnacentral:misc_RNA from 1 species
AACGCACCUUGCGCCCUUUGGCUAUUCCGAAGGGCAUGCCUGUUUGAGUAUCAUGAACACCUCAACUCUCAUGGUCUGCCAUGAUGAGCUUGGACUUUGGGGGCCUUGCCGGCCAAGUGUCGGCUCCUCUCAAAUGGAUCAGCUUGCCAGUGUUUGGUGGCGUCACAGGUGUGAUAACUAUCUACGCUUGUUGUUCUCUGCCAUGUAACCUUCAGUGAUGGAGGUUCGCUGGAGCUCACAGAUGUCUCUCCCUGGGAGGACAGCUCUUUGAACGUUUGAUCUCAAAUCAGGUAGGACUACCCGCUGAACUUAA